ensembl:lncRNA
UUGAGGUCCACGCAGUCCAGCAUCUGCAACACACGCGGCUCUUAGUGCUGGAUCCAGCAACCCGCUUGGGGAAAGACAGCAAGGCAUGGCCAAGCCUGGUCCCGAGGGAGGCAGCAGGACUCGUGCCACCAGUGGCGUUGCAGCCUCAAGUUCACCGCUUCUGCAGCUGGUGCUCACCUCAAUGAGGAAGACCAUGGCCACCGUCUCCCAGGAGUAGAAGAAGCUGGUGCUGAGCAGCUCAACCAGGUGGUGGAAGAUGGGGUCACGCAGAGCACCAGGCAGCUCUCUCAUCACCCUGGCAGGGAUAAGAAGGCACCGUGAGCCCCGAGCCAGGGGGACGCAGCUCUGGCUGUGCAGCCCUCUUGCCAACGCCGCAGGGGCCACAGGCUGUGGUGGUGCUGUGGCAGCACUUUCUCAGAGAACUGGGGACCCCCUGCCACCCUGAGGGAGGAGUUCUCACCUGGCCACCACCUGUACACCCUGGAGGUGGGUCACAGUGCUGAGAAGCGCGUCCCAGCCGCCCUGCUCCUGGAUGGCCUCCAUCUGCCUCUGGAGGCCCACGCUGCAGAGCAGCACCUUCAAGGACUGCACCACAGCCCUGCAGGUGGAGAAGGGUGUGAGUCACAUCGGGAGCCCCAGCACCGGGUGCCUGGGUGCAGCGGGAGGACUGGGAUGUGGCACCUGAUGGGAGUGAGCUGGUGCUGCUGGUGCGCCUCGAAGAAGAUUUCCACCUCCUGCUGUGUCAGGUUCACGGUGAAGGACACUUGCAGGAGGAGGGCCAGGAAGAGCUGGGGGAAGAUGGCUUCGGCCUCCUUCAGGACCAGAGAGCUUUUCGACAAUAACACGACUGUCUAACAGACAUUCUGGUGUUAACUACGUCCCUGUGCUCCCUAUCUGUCUGCUGCUGGCCCAGUCUCUUCUCCCACACGAGGCACUUCACACUGACGGCGUCAGCCGUGCUCUCCUCUCCCAUCCAGUUCUUCCUUCCUCAUCCUGGGUCCGGAGGGCAUCAUCGAUGCUGAGGUUAUGGGAGAAGAGUAACUUCGGUGCUUCCAGCCGAGAAGUGCCCUUUGCAAGGAAAGAAGAUGCAGAACGUCUCUGGCCAUCCUCACCUCCUCCGCUGCCCCAGGCUCAUCUCAUGGGAACGCCCCUCCCAGCCAGGAGGACGUGCUGGGAGCUGGGCCAUGCGCACACACACGGCCGUCCCUCGCUCUGAGCAGAAGGUGCGUCCUCUUCUCCCCGACGAUCUGCCGGCCGGUCCCGUCUGCCCAACAGCCGCUGUUCUUCUGCCGGCGCUAGGGCAGCACCGGGCGCUGUUCCUGCCUCCAGCUGCGGAGGAGGCAAAGUGACGGCCAGGGGCUCAAGCAGCGCAUCUGCAGCACAGACAAGAGAAGUUCCUGUUAUCGCGAGCCACUGUCUGUCUCAUUAUCAGCUACCUCUCCAUCAAGAACGUUGCUUUCCACGACCUAUGUCCCCAUGACAUACCUAGCCAUGCCCUCCCCCUGCCCCUCGCACAGCCCGCACUGGGCUGCCAGCCCAUCACCUGCAGCUGCCCUGGUGGGGCCGCAGCUGCAAGCGGG